UACCAGCACCCCGAGUGGUCGGGGCGAUUAUUGGGCCUAAAGCAUCCGUAGCCGGUCAUGCAAGUCCUCCGUUAAAUCCAGCCGCUCAACGGUUGGGCUGCGGAGGAUACUACGUGGCUAGGAGGCGGGAGAGGCAAGCGGUACUCAGUGGGUAGGGGUAAAAUCCUUUGAUCCAUUGAAGACCACCAGUGGCGAAGGCGGCUUGCCAGAACGAGCUCGACGGUGAGGGAUGAAAGCUGGGGGAGCAAACCGG
rnacentral:rRNA from 1 species